rnacentral:rRNA from 1 species
AGACCCGAAACCCGGUGAUCUAGCCAUGGGCAGGUUGAAGGUUGGGUAACACUAACUGGAGGACCGAACCGACUAAUGUUGAAAAAUUAGCGGAUGACCUGUGGCUGGGGGUGAAAGGCCAAUCAAACCGGGAGAUAGCUGGUUCUCCCCGAAAGCUAUUUAGGUAGCGCCUCGUGAAUUCAUCUCCGGGGGUAGAGCACUGUUUCGGCUAGGGGGCCAUCCCGGCUUACCAACCCGAUGCAAACUGCGAAUACCGGAGAAUGUUAUCACGGGAGACACACGGCGGGUGCUAACGUCCGUCGUGAAGAGGGAAACAACCCAGACCGCCAGCUAAGGUCCCAAAGUCAUGGUUAAGUGGGAAACGAUGUGGGAAGGCCCAGACAGCCAGGAUGUUGGCUUAGAAGCAGCCAUCAUUUAAAGAAAGCGUAAUAGCUCACUGGUCGAGUCGGCCUGCGCGGAAGAUGUAACGGGGCUAAACCAUGCACCGAAGCUGCGGCAGCGAACGUAUCACUUAAAGCGAUUCAGCGGAUGACGAUUGACGGAGCGAAGCGACGUCAAAGCGUAUACAAAGUCGAGUCGGUUUAAGGAUACGUUCGUUGGGUAGGGGAGCGUUCUGUAAGCCUGCGAAGGUGGCCUGUGAGGGUUGCUGGAGGUAUCAGAAGUGCGAAUGCUGACAUAAGUAACGAUAAAGCGGGUGAAAAGCCCGCUCGCCGGAAGACCAAGGGUUCCUGUCCAACGUUAAUCGGGGCAGGGUGAGUCGACCCCUAAGGCGAGGCCGAAAGGCGUAGUCGAUGGGAAACGGGUUAAUAUUCCCGUACUUGGUGUUACUGCGAAGGGGGGACGGAGAAGGCUAUGUUGGCCGGGCGACGGUUGUCCCGGUUUAAGCGUGUAGGUGUGUGUUCCAGGUAAAUCCGGUUCACUUUAACACUGAGGCGUGAUGACGAGGCACUACGGUGCUGAAGCAACAAAUGCCCUGCUUCCAGGAAAAGCCUCUAAGCAUCAGGUAACAUCAAAUCGUACCCCAAACCGACACAGGUGGUCAGGUAGAGAAUACCAAGGCGCUUGAGAGAACUCGGGUGAAGGAACUAGGCAAAAUGGUGCCGUAACUUCGGGAGAAGGCACGCUGACACGUAGGUGAAGUGAUUUACUCAUGGAGCUGAAGUCAGUCGAAGAUACCAGCUGGCUGCAACUGUUUAUUAAAAACACAGCACUGUGCAAACACGAAAGUGGACGUAUACGGUGUGACGCCUGCCCGGUGCCGGAAGGUUAAUUGAUGGGGUCAGCGCAAGCGAAGCUCCUGAUCGAAGCCCCGGUAAACGGCGGCCGUAACUAUAACGGUCCUAAGGUAGCGAAAUUCCUUGUCGGGUAAGUUCCGACCUGCACGAAUGGCGUAAUGAUGGCCAGGCUGUCUCCACCCGAGACUCAGUGAAAUUGAACUCGCUGUGAAGAUGCAGUGUACCCGCGGCAAGACGGAAAGACCCCGUGAACCUUUACUAUAGCUUGACACUGAACAUUGAGCCUUGAUGUGUAGGAUAGGUGGGAGGCUU